CGGGAUGUAGCGCAGUCUGGUAGCGCACCACGCUGGGGGUGUGGUGGUCGCAGGUUCAAAUCCUGUCAUCCCGACCA
rnacentral:tRNA from 1 species